GCUACUGUGUGCCUAACUUGGGUUUUCUAUGGGAUUUUCCCUGAGAAGCCAGAAAUAUUUUCUUCCUUUAAACCGAAGAAAUCAGUAGGAAAAAAUGGGUCAAAUGGAACAAAAGGAAAGAAGUGUGGACUGGAAGUGGAAUGAGACAAAUCAGCCAAGAAUACAUCACAAAAUUCUUCAUAUUGCUGGACAUGACUAGGGCACGCCUUCACUGAUACAGGGAAAGAAACACCAAUUCGUGCCUGUCUCCUGGGACAGUGUAACUUUGGGAGCGGUGGCAGCCUGGAAGAGAACCGCUGGAGCAUUCCUGCCAGUGUUUUUCUGGACAUUGUAAUGACCAGCAUAUCAAAGCAAGAAAUGAAAAUGUAGCAGUGUUUUAUGGGCUGACCAAGAGGCCUGAAAUACUCCAUGCUGAUAGCCAACAUUUUUCCAAGACUUGGAAAUUCACUUAGCCUCACUUUGUCUUUGUU